rnacentral:rRNA from 1 species
UACGGAAGGUACGGGCGUUAUCCGGAUUUAUUGGGUUUAAAGGGUGCGUAGGCGGGUUAUCAAGUCAGCGGUAAAAUCGUGGAGCUCAACCCCUUUAAGCCGUUGAAACUGGUGAUCUUGAGUGGGCGAGAAGUAUGCGGAAUGCGUGGUGUAGCGGUGAAAUGCAUAGAUAUCACGCAGAACUCCGAUUGCGAAGGCAGCAUACCGGCGCCCGACUGACGCUGAGGCACGAAAGCGUGGGUAUCAAACAGG